rnacentral:rRNA from 1 species
CACGUAGGGGGCGAGCGUUGUCCGGAUUUAUUGGGCGUAAAGAGCUCGUAGGCGGCUCAGUAAGUCGGGUGUGAAAACUCCAGGCUCAACCUGGAGACGCCACCUGAUACUGCUGUGGCUAGAGUCCGGUAGGGGAGCAUGGAAUUCCUGGUGUAGCGGUGAAAUGCGCAGAUAUCAGGAGGAACACCAGUGGCGAAGGCGGUGCUCUGGGCCGGAACUGACGCUGAGGCGCGAAAGCUAGGGGAGCAAACGGG